GGAGGGGAGGACCAUAACCACUGGAUCCAAAUGACAAGCAAGGAGAGUCUGACUCAACAUUAGGAAGAACUUUCUGACUGAGCUGUUUGACAGUGGAACAGACUCCUGCAGAAGGCAGUGAGCUCUCUUUCAUUGGAGGUUUUUAAGCAGAGGUUGAAUGGCCAUUUGUCAGGGAUUCCUGAGCUGUGGUUCCUGCAUUGCAGAGGGUUGGACUAGAUCAGGCAUCCCCAACCUGCGGCCCUCCAGAUGUUUUGGCCUACAACUCCCAUGAUCCCUAGCUAACAGGACCAGUGGUCAGGGAUGAUGGGAACUGUAGUCCAAAACAUCUGUAGGGCUGAAGGUUGGGGAUGCCAGGACUAGAUUGUGUUUGGGGACACCUUCCAACUCUACGGUUCGUAAACUUCAUGAUCCCACGUCCACCCAGCUCACUGCCUGACACGAUCUUUGCUUGGGUGGGUUGAUUUCAGAAUAGUGGAAGUGACCUGGAUAAGCAUAUACUCAGGGUGGGAAGUGGGUAGGUGAAUUCUCUAGUGGUGCAGAAAGGUGUUGGGUAGCUUUUUCAGAUAGGAUUGGACAAAUUCAUGGAGGAGGAGAGGGCUGUUAAUGACUGUUGAUGUUUAGUCGUUUAGUCGUGUCUGACUCUUUGUGACCCCAUGGACCAGAGCACGCCAGGCACUCCUGUCUUCCACUGCCUCCUGCAGUUUGGUCCAUAGCUGUCAACUUUUCCCUUUUCUUGCAAGGAAUCCUAUUCGGAAUAAGGGAAUUUCCCUUAAAAAAGGGGAAACGUUGACAGCUAUGGUUUGGUCAAUCUCAUGCUGGUAGCUUCGAGAACACUGUCCAACCAUCUUGUCCUCUGUCGUCCCCUUCUCCUUGUGCCCUCCAUCUUUCCCAGCAUCAGGGUCUUUCCCAGGGAGUCUUCUCUUCUCAUGAGGUGGCCAAAGUAUUGGUGCCUCAGCUUCAGGAUCUGUCCUUCCAAUGAGUGCUCAGGGUUGAUUUCCUUCAGAAUGGACAGGUUUGAUCUUCUUGCAGUCCGUGGGACUCUCAAGAGUCUCCUCCAGCACCAGAAUUCAAAACUGUUGAUUACUACUAGCCGCAAUUGGCUAUGCUCUCAGUACCAAGGCUUCUCAAUACCAGUUUCUGGAAAUUGCAGGAGGAGAGAGGGCUCUUAUGCUCAAAUCCUGCUUGUGGGUUUCCCAACUGGUUGGCCACUGUGAGAAGGGGAUGCUGGGCUGGAUGGGCCAUUGGCCUGAUCCAGCAGGCUCUUCUCACCUUCUUCUGCUAGGAACCAACCUUGCACCAGACCAGGUGGCCGUCCUCCUCAAUGAUGCCAGAGAACUGAGCCUGGGAAACUGACACCAGCCACAGACCCUUAUCUCACGUGUCCUCAUCUUGCUCUUGGUAACCAGACCAGCUCAGCUUUCUCUGCUUUGCGUAAUUAGAUAAGAGGAGGCUUUAUUACUCUCCCAGCAACGCUGUCCCUUCAGACUUGUGGGGUGGAAUCCCCACAUGGCCAAGCAGUGGAAACUGCUCCAUCAGGGCACACAGGACACUGCUUUGCUGAUGUCCUGGUCUGUCUUCAACCAGCAUCCACCAGCUGGCCUUCCUCCUUAUGUGCAGUCCUGGGUGUGUCGAUCCUGGCCGUCUAAGGUUGUGUAUGCAUUAAUCAUAGAAUUGGUGAGUUGGAAGGGACCCGGAGGGUCAUCUAGUCCAACCCCUUGCUACAACGCAGGAAUCACAGUUCAAUAAUCCCUGACAUGGAUCCAACCUCUGCUUAAAAACCACCACAGCCUUCCAAGGGGAUUCCACUGCUGAACAGCUCUUUCCUUCAGAAACUUAUUCAAUUUAUUUUUUACUUGAGAAAGUUUGUUUAGGAAAUAUUAGGGAGAACUAAUUUGGUCAGAAUCUCCUUUCUUGUAACUUGAAUCCAUUGGUUCAAGUCCUACCCUCCAGAGCAGGAACAAACAAGCUUGCUCCAUCUUCCAUGUGUCAGCCCUUGAAACAUUUGAAGGUAUCAACAUAUCUCCCCCCAGUCUCCUCUUUUCUAAGCUAAACCUACCCAGCUCCUUCAACCGUUCCUGAUAAGGCUUGGUUUCCAGACCCUUGAUCAUCUUGGUCACCUCUGCAUAUGUCCCAGCUUGUCAAUAUUCUUCUUAAACUGUGGCACCCAGAACUGGACACAGUAUUCCAGGUGUGGCCUGACCAAGGCAGAAUCUAGUGGUACUAUUACUUCCUCUGAUCUGGACGCUACAUUUCUGUUGAUGCAGCCUAGAAUAGCAUCAGCUUUCUUUGCUUCUGCAAAGAAAUGGGCCCAAGUUACUGUAGCCAUGUGCAUUAAUUUCAGUGGGUCUGUUGAAUAAAGUCUUAAGGUACUGCUGAUCUCCUCAGCUCCCCUUGUGAGCACUGUGACUGUCAUACUGAAUCAAAGUGGGUGCAAAAAAAUGCAAAACACCUCUCUUAUCUUUUUUGACCAGCAAAUUCUGGUUGGACGUGUUAGCGGAUUUACGACCGAAUGCUUGGAGUGGAGCCAGUGGGCUGUCCAGAUUUGUCCUCAGAAGCAGGAUAGCCGAUCUACCGAAAGCAUCCCAGGCUGAUGCUUGCCCAAUCAUCUUUGAAAAGCCGCCAAAUAAAGAGAUUCCGCCACAUCCUUCGCAUCGGCCUUCAUUCCUGAGCAUUAAGUUCUUAAGCUUCUUGUCAUUUAAACACAAUUGCUUUUUGGGGUGGAUGGGUGGGAGGGAGGAAAACCUGAUUCUCAGAAUCCAGGAUGAGCAAUCUUCCUUUCUUUCGUCCUUUUUAAAUAUUUGAAAACAGCCAGCGUGGUCUUCGCUGUCAUCUCCUUCUGCAUAGCAGGGGGUUGGUCUAGAUGGCCCUCUGGAUCCCUUCCAUCUUCUCAGCACAUGUGACAUCCAGACAUUCCUCAGGAGAUUUCAGCCUUCUGGAGCAUUGAUCAUCUCUUGAUGGCUUCCCCCUCAAUCCUUUCCAUUGUGUUGAUGGUGGGUCUUGCAGCUCAGUGGCAAAGCAUCUGGUUUUCAUGGAUAAAGUCUUGUGUUCAAAUCCUGCUAGCAUCUCCUGCUAGGGCUGGGAAAGGGCUCCAUGCCCCAAAUCCUGGAUUGCUGCUGACAUUCAAUGCAGAUAAUAAUGUGCCAGACAGACCAAGGGCCUGACUCUCUGUAUAUGAAGCAGCUUCCUAUUUUCCCGUGUCAAUCAUUGUUCAGAGCCAUGAGGACUAGAAACUUGCUUUAUUUUUAGGGGAAGGGCCGCAGCUGAGUGGCAGAACACACACUUUGUGUGGCAUCUCCAGGCAGGGCUGGGAAUAUGCCCUGCCCUGCAACUCUGGAGAGCUGCUGCCAGUCAGUGCAGACAGUACUGGUACAGAUUGGCCCCCAUGGCUUAGCAGCUCCCUAAAUUCCUUAGCCUGUUUUAUUGGCGUGGGCAUCAGGCAAUGAAUGCAAUACUCUCUUAGCAGCGGCUGUGCAGAAUGACAGCUUCCACUUCUUCAGCUUUGAGACUGAGGUUGAAGUGAGCGCUGCUAGCUCACACCUCUGCCCCCAACCCCCUCCUGCAAUAUUGCAAAUUAUCC
rnacentral:lncRNA from 1 species